AAUCCCCUGUAAUAUAAACUCAUAGUGUAUUGUCGGGAUUAUUAGUCCAGGCUAAAUCCCCUGCAACGACAAUUACUCUAAUGAGCUUGGAUCUGAAUUACCAGUCCAGGCUAAAUUCAGACCCUAAUUCGGAUUACCCGUCCGGGCUAAAUCUAUUUUCCACAUAUUCUUCGGGAGGGCUAUAUCAGGAUAGGAUCACCCGUC
rnacentral:lncRNA from 1 species